UACGGAGGGAGCUAGCGUUGUUCGGAAUUACUGGGCGUAAAGCGCACGUAGGCGGCUUUGUAAGUUAGAGGUGAAAGCCCGGGGCUCAACCCCGGAAUUGCCUUUAAGACUGCAUCGCUUGAAUCCAGGAGAGGUGAGUGGAAUUCCGAGUGUAGAGGUGAAAUUCGUAGAUAUUCGGAAGAACACCAGUGGCGAAGGCGGCUCACUGGAGCUGGUAUUGACGCUGAGGUGCGAAAGCGUGGGAGCAAACAGG
rnacentral:rRNA from 1 species